rnacentral:rRNA from 1 species
UACAGAGGUGGCAAGCGUUGUUCGGAAUUACUGGGCGUAAAGGGCGCGUAGGCGGCCUGUUAAGUCAGACGUGAAAUCCCUCGGCUCAACCGGGGAACUGCGUCUGAUACUGGCGGGCUUGAAUUCGGGAGAGGGAUGUGGAAUUCCAGGUGUAGCGGUGAAAUGCGUAGAUAUCUGGAGGAACACCGGUGGCGAAGGCGGCAUCCUGGACCGGCAUUGACGCUGAUGAGCGAAAGCUAGGGGAGCAAACGGG